ACAAAUCUUACAAUUAUAGAUACAAUUAGUUGCCGUGAAUGGGAUAUGACAACAUAAUAUUUCAAAUUUAUAUUUGUUUCAUAUUCAUAGAAGAUUUAUACCAUUUGUAUUAAGAAACAAUUAUUUCUAUUACUUUAAAUAUUUUUUAAAUUAGCACUCAACGCGUAGUAAAAUGAAACGGAGACGCUCAGUAUAGCACGAGGCAAAAGAGGAAUAAUUCAAAUCGGAUAUUGUGUCGAUGCUCUUAUAUUGAGAGCCGAACUGUCGGGCGCACAUGUAUAUGGCUCGUCUUUUGUGUACAUGUUGCAGCCUGGCUUUCCUUUCUAGGAUCACUGGUUCAGAUAAACUUACACGAUAAACAAGGACACCUAUUGUAUAGGUCGCGACCUAAAUGCACAAACGGGGCCACUAUGGACAAAUUUUGUUCAAGAGUGGACAUAUCGAAGAAUGACCGUUCAUUUCGAAACUCCAGAGAUACCGAACCAUAGAUUUAUGGUUCUUUGAAAAGGAUAUUGAAGAAAUUCCACGCUGCUCCAUAUGUGGUGCAUCUGCUAUAAUACGAUGUUCCUGGUGUCAGAAAUAUUUUUGCAACAUUUUUUAAAUGAAUAUUAUAAUUUCAAACAUUUUGUCAUAUAAUAAUCAUGUUAGUAUUAAUAACGAAAUUUACAAUUAGUUUUAAAACUUACGACAAAUACAUUCAUUGCUGUUUAUAAUAAAAAAUGUACUUAUACAUUAUACUUAUACGUACAUUACUGAAAAUAUAUGACAUGGUAACUCA